rnacentral:rRNA from 1 species
AAUGGGCGCAAGCCUGAUCUAGCCAUGCCGCGUGAGUGAUGAAGGCCUUAGGGUCGUAAAGCUCUUUCGCCUGUGAAGAUAAUGACUGUAGCAGGUAAAGAAACCCCGGCUAACUCCGUGCCAGCAGCCGCGGUAAUACGGAGGGGGUUAGCGUUGUUCGGAAUUACUGGGCGUAAAGCGCGCGUAGGCGGACAUUUAAGUCAGAGGUGAAAUCCCAGGGCUCAACCCUGGAACUGCCUUUGAUACUGGGUGUCUUGAGUUCGAGAGAGGUGAGUGGGAUUCCGAGUGUAGAGGUGAAAUUCGUAGAUAUUCGGAGGAACACCAGUGGCGAAGGCGGCUCACUGGCUCGAUACUGACGCUGAGGUGCGAAAGUGUGGGGAGCAAACAGGAUU